ACCGGUGCUGGCCCAGGGGAGAGGCAACCGCAGACAAGGCUCUUUGGGAUGUGGACUGAGGCUGUGGCCAGAACUAGAGCAAGAGUCUAGAGCAAGACAGACGGACAGGCAUCUCAUCUGUCUUGCCCGGCUGAGCACCCAGAACAGACAAUGACCCAGAGCAGGACCAGUGGAUGUUUGUUAAGUGAAGGAAGGAGAAGAGUCAUCAAGCAAAGAAGGAAGAGUAAGAGGAAAAGGUAUUUACCCAAGAGAAUGAAAGCCACCAAGUGACCACAAAGAAUGUGCACAAAAAUGGUCGUCACAGCUAAAAACUGAAAACAACUCUAACAUCCAACUACUGAAGAGAGGAGAAUUAUUGAUGGCACCUUCCUUCAAUGAAAUACUACACAGCAAUGAAAAAGAAGAAAUUCCCAAUACAGGCAACUGGAUGCAUGGAUCUCACAAACAAUGCUGAAAGAAAGGGAGAGAGAAUGAGUAUAUACUAUGUGGUCCCAUUUAAAUAAAGCUCAAGGGUAGGUGAAAUUAACUUUGGGGAUUAAAGUCUGAAUACUGGUUACCUCUGGGGAGAUUAUUGAUUGGAAAGGGGCACAGGUGAACCUGCUGGGCUAUUGGAAUUGUUCUGUAUCUCAAUCAAUAAGACAUUUACAUGGUACAUACAUAUGCAGAAAACCACCCAGCUGCACAUAGCUGGAUGGUGUCACUGAGGCAGUGGACGUGAA